UCGAAGGUAGCAUAAUCAGUAGUCUUUUAAUUGAAGGCUUGUAUGAAUGGUUGGACGAAAUAUUAACUGUUUCAGAAAAAUUUAUAAUAGAAUUUUAUUUUUUAGUCAAAAAGCUAAAAUAUAUUUAAAAGACGAGAAGACCCUAUGAAUCUUUAUAUUUAUAAAAUUUUAAUUAUAUAGAUUUUUUUAAUUAUAAUUUGUGUAAAUAUUUUAUUGGGGUGAUAUUAAAAUUUAAUAAACUUUUAAUUUUAUUUUAUCAUUUAUUUAUGUAUAAUUGAUCCAUUAUUAAUGAUUAAAAAUUUAAGUUACUCUAGGGAUAACAGCGUAAUUUUUUUGGAGAGUUCAUAUCGAUAAAAAAGAUUACGACCUCGAUGUUGGAUUAA
rnacentral:rRNA from 1 species